rnacentral:rRNA from 1 species
AUUGAACGCUGGCGGCAGGCCUAACACAUGCAAGUCGAACGAGUGGCGGACGGGUGAGUAAUGUCUGGGAAACUGCCCGAUGGAGGGGGAUAACUACUGGAAACGGUAGCUAAUACCGCAUACCAUCGGAUGUGCCCAGAUGGGAUUAGCUAGUAGGUGGGGUAACGGCUCACCUAGGCGACGAUCCCUAGCUGGGCUGAGAGGAUGACCAGCCACACUGGAACUGAGACACGGUCCAGACUCCUACGGGAGGCAGCAGUGGGGAAUAUUGCACAAUGGGCGCAAGCCUGAUGCAGCCAUGCCGCGUGUAUGAAGAAGGCCUUCGGGUUGUAAAGUUCUUUCGGUAAGGAGGCGUUAUAUACAGAAGAAGCACCGGCUAACUCCGUGCCAGCAGCCGCGGUAAUUC